GAGUUUGAUCCUGGCUCAGAACGAACGCUGGCGGCAUGCCUAACACAUGCAAGUCGAACGCCCCGCAAGGGGAGUGGCGAACGGGUGAGUAACGCGUGGGAACCUACCCAGCAGUUGGGGAUAACCGCGGGAAACUGCGGCUAAUACCGAAUACGUCCUUUGGGAGAAAGAUUUAUCGCUGUUGGAGGGGCCCGCGUCGGAUUAGCUAGUUGGUGAGGUAACGGCUCACCAAGGCGACGAUCCGUAGCUGGUCUGAGAGGAUGAUCAGCCACACUGGGACUUAGACACGGCCCAGACUCCUACGGGAGGCAGCAGUGGGGAAUAUUGGACAAUGGGGGCAACCCUGAUCCAGCAAUGCCGCGUGAGUGAUGAAGGCCUUAGGGUUGUAAAGCUCUUUUACCAGGGAUGAUAAUGACAGUACCUGGAGAAUAAGCUCCGGCUAACUCCGUGCCAGCAGCCGCAGUAAU
rnacentral:rRNA from 1 species